CCCUUAGAUGUCCUGGGCCGCACGCGUGCUACACUGACGCCUACAGCGAGUACUUCCCAGCCCCGAGAGGUGGCUGGUAAUCAGCAAUAGGCGUCGUGAUGGGGAUAGAUCUUUGGAAUUAUGGAUCUUGAACGAGGAAUGCCUAGUAAGCGCAGGUCAUUAGCCUGCGCUGAUUAAGUCCCUGCCCUUUGUACACCCCGCCCGUCGCUCCUACCGAUUUCGAGUGGUCCGGUGAAUCUUUCGGACUGCGCGCGGCCUCGUGCCGUGUCGCGGAAAGUCAGGUAAACCUUAUCACUUAGAGGAAGGAGAAGUCGUAACA
rnacentral:rRNA from 1 species